UUCGUCACACUAUCAUUAACUGAAUCCAUAGGUUAAUGAGGCGAACCGGGGGAACUGAAACAUCUAAGUACCCCGAGGAAAAGAAAUCAACCGAGAUUCCCCCAGUAGCGGCGAGCGAACGGGGAGCAGCCCAGAGCCUGAAUCAGUGUGUGUGUUAGUGGAAGCGUCUGGAAAGGCGCGCGAUACAGGGUGACAGCCCCGUACACAAAAAUGCACAUAUUGUGAGCUCGAUGAGUAGGGCGGGACACGUGGUAUCCUGUCUGAAUAUGGGGGGCCCAUCCUCCAAGGCUAAAUACUCCUGACUGACCGAUAGUGAACCAGUACCGUGAGGGAAAGGCGAAAAGAACCCCGGCGAGGGGAGUGAAAAAGAACCUGAAACCGUGUACGUACAAGCAGUGGGAGCACGCUUAGGCGUGUGACUGCGUACCUUUUGUAUAAUGGGUCAGCGACUUAUAUUCUGUAGCAAGGUUAACCGAAUAGGGGAGCCGAAGGGAAACCGAGUCUUAACUGGGCGUUAAGUUGCAGGGUAUAGACCCGAAACCCGGUGAUCUAGCCAUGGGCAGGUUGAAGGUUGGGUAACACUAACUGGAGGACCGAACCGACUAAUGUUGAAAAAUUAGCGGAUGACUUGUGGCUGGGGGUGAAAGGCCAAUCAAACCGGGAGAUAGCUGGUUCUCCCCGAAAGCUAUUUAGGUAGCGCCUCGUGAAUUCAUCUCCGGGGGUAGAGCACUGUUUCGGCAAGGGGGUCAUCCCGACUUACCAACCCGAUGCAAACUGCGAAUACCGGAGAAUGUUAUCACGGGAGACACACGGCGGGUGCUAACGUCCGUCGUGAAGAGGGAAACAACCCAGACCGCCAGCUAAGGUCCCAAAGUCAUGGUUAAGUGGGAAACGAUGUGGGAAGGCCCAGACAGCCAGGAUGUUGGCUUAGAAGCAGCCAUCAUUUAAAGAAAGCGUAAUAGCUCACUGGUCGAGUCGGCCUGCGCGGAAGAUGUAACGGGGCUAAACCAUGCACCGAAGCUGCGGCAGCGACGCUUAUGCGUUGUUGGGUAGGGGAGCGUUCUGUAAGCCUGCGAAGGUGUGCUGUGAGGCAUGCUGGAGGUAUCAGAAGUGCGAAUGCUGACAUAAGUAACGAUAAAGCGGGUGAAAAGCCCGCUCGCCGGAAGACCAAGGGUUCCUGUCCAACGUUAAUCGGGGCAGGGUGAGUCGACCCCUAAGGCGAGGCCGAAAGGCGUAGUCGAUGGGAAACAGGUUAAUAUUCCUGUACUUGGUGUUACUGCGAAGGGGGGACGGAGAAGGCUAUGUUGGCCGGGCGACGGUUGUCCCGGUUUAAGCGUGUAGGCUGGUUUUCCAGGCAAAUCCGGAAAAUCAAGGCUGAGGCGUGAUGACGAGGCACUACGGUGCUGAAGCAACAAAUGCCCUGCUUCCAGGAAAAGCCUCUAAGCAUCAGGUAACAUCAAAUCGUACCCCAAACCGACACAGGUGGUCAGGUAGAGAAUACCAAGGCGCUUGAGAGAACUCGGGUGAAGGAACUAGGCAAAAUGGUGCCGUAACUUCGGGAGAAGGCACGCUGAUAUGUAGGUGAAGUCCCUUGCGGAUGGAGCUGAAAUCAGUCGAAGAUACCAGCUGGCUGCAACUGUUUAUUAAAAACACAGCACUGUGCAAACACGAAAGUGGACGUAUACGGUGUGACGCCUGCCCGGUGCCGGAAGGUUAAUUGAUGGGGUCAGCGCAAGCGAAGCUCUUGAUCGAAGCCCCGGUAAACGGCGGCCGUAACUAUAACGGUCCUAAGGUAGCGAAAUUCCUUGUCGGGUAAGUUCCGACCUGCACGAAUGGCGUAAUGAUGGCCAGGCUGUCUCCACCCGAGACUCAGUGAAAUUGAACUCGCUGUGAAGAUGCAGUGUACCCGCGGCAAGACGGAAAGACCCCGUGAACCUUUACUAUAGCUUGACACUGAACAUUGAGCCUUGAUGUGUAGGAUAGGUGGGAGGCUUUGAAGUGUGGACGCCAGUCUGCAUGGAGCCGGCCUUGAAAUACCACCCUUUAAUGUUUGAUGUUCUAACGUGGACCCGUGAUCCGGGUUGCGGACAGUGUCUGGUGGGUAGUUUGACUGGGGCGGUCUCCUCCUAAAGAGUAACGGAGGAGCACGAAGGUUGGCUAAUCCUGGUCGGACAUCAGGAGGUUAGUGCAAUGGCAUAAGCCAGCUUGACUGCGAGCGUGACGGCGCGAGCAGGUGCGAAAGCAGGUCAUAGUGAUCCGGUGGUUCUGAAUGGAAGGGCCAUCGCUCAACGGAUAAAAGGUACUCCGGGGAUAACAGGCUGAUACCGCCCAAGAGUUCAUAUCGACGGCGGUGUUUGGCACCUCGAUGUCGGCUCAUCACAUCCUGGGGCUGAAGUAGGUCCCAAGGGUAUGGCUGUUCGCCAUUUAAAGUGGUACGCGAGCUGGGUUUAGAACGUCGUGAGACAGUUCGGUCCCUAUCUGCCGUGGGCGCUGGAGAACUGAGGGGGGCUGCUCCUAGUACGAGAGGACCGGAGUGGACGCAUCACUGGUGUUCGGGUUGUCAUGCCAAUGGCACUGCCCGGUAGCUAAAUGCGGAAGAGAUAAGUGCUGAAAGCAUCUAAGCACGAAACUUGCCCCGAGAUGAGUUCUCCCUGACCCUUUAAGGGUCCUGAAGGAACGUUGAAGACGACGACGUUGAUAGGCCGGGUGUGUAAGCGCAGCGAUGCGUUGAGCUAACCGGUACUAAUGAACCGUGAG
rnacentral:rRNA from 1 species